rnacentral:rRNA from 1 species
CGUAGGGGGCAAGCGUUGUCCGGAUUUAUUGGGCGUAAAGAGCUCGUAGGUGGUUCGGUAAGUCGGAUGUGAAAUCUCCAGGCUCAACCUGGAGGGGUCAUUCGAUACUGCCGUGACUAGAGUUCGGUAGGGGAGUGUGGAAUUCCUGGUGGAGCGGUGAAAUGCGCAGAUAUCAGGAGGAACACCCGUAGCGAAGGCGGCACUCUGGGCCGAUACUGACACUGAGGAGCGAAAGCGUGGGGGAGCGAACAGGAUUAGAUACCCUGGUAGUCCACGCCGUAAACGUUGGGCACUAGGUGUGGGGACUCGUAUCGACGGGUUCCGUGCCGUAGCUAACGCAUUAAGUGCCCCGCCUGGGGAGUACGGCCGCAAGGCUA